UACGUAGGGUGCGAGCGUUGUCCGGAAUUAUUGGGCGUAAAGAGCUCGUAGGCGGUUUGUCGCGUCGACUGUGAAAACUGGGGGCUUAACUCUCAGCUUGCAUGUGAUACGGGCAGAUCUGAGUUCGGUAGGGGAGACUGGAAUUCCUGGUGUAGCGGUGAAAUGCGCAGAUAUCAGGAGGAACACCGAGUGGCAAGGCGGUCUCUGGGCCAUACUGACGCUGAGAAGCGAACGA
rnacentral:rRNA from 1 species